rnacentral:lncRNA from 1 species
UUUGAGCUGAUUUUUAACGACAUUUUGCAUUCGGAAAUUUUGUAAUACUUUAAAUAACGAAGUUGCUGAAUUUCAAAGUUUGGUAUAUAUAUUCCCACUGUUCUUCAACAUGCGCACGGAGCAAUCUUUUUUCCCCGUUCCACUUACGUCUCCUGUACAACCGAUUCCUUCCCGUAUGCUCGUUCGAGAAAUGAGGCGACCAUUUCACGGCUGUCCUGUGAAGCUUUUCUAUGUAUGCUUAGGUGAAUUUCUUCGUGCGGCGUCACAAUUAUUAUGUCUACUUCUACAUUUCAGACCUAAAAAUAUUUCAGAAGGUAACAUUUAUUUGUUACUUUCUGAAAUAUCAAACAUUUUUCGGAUAUGUAUCACCCAGUAAGGACGAAACUAUAUGUUGGCAGUAUAUCCAUAUGGCAGCAGUAUAGCCUGGCUUCAGUAUCCACAAUAAGAAUUCAAAUUAUGCCUCAGCUAGGAAGGAUGACUUGCCAGGACUUACAUAUCCCAAUUAUCCAGUUUAUUGAACUUAUACUAUAAUGCAUAUAAUACAAGGAAUAUAAACAGAAAGCAAGUAAUUGUAUUUUAACUGUAUUUCCUUGAAACUGUAUGACCUAUGAAGAUUGCACACUUAGAUUAGAGCGGAGCUCUUAUCACAUCAUGAUUCUCUGAAGCGUGAUACCCCAAAAACCGUAAAUACAAAAACCUGUAAGACAUAUUGCUGACCACGUUGCCGGAGCACCUGUUAAACAUCAUGUAAUAAAUUUAAUUUUUAAAUAGUCUCCUCUGACCAAAAGCUUUUCUACUGGUCCCAACUGAUCAAAGUACGAGCUUCGCUCGUACUUGUUUUGGCAUAUCCAGCUUGGUAACUCUGAAAGAUUUUAGGAGCAACAUUAUUAAUUUUAUACUCAUAAUAUGGAUUUAAUAAAAUGUAACAUCCAACAUUGUAAUCAUGAGGCAUUAAAGAGAGCUUUUCCCCAAAAGCGGGCUGGAGAGCCAAUAGCAUCAACCUCAACAGAUGUGCAAGAAGAAGUAAAUGAAGACACUCCCCGGAAAAAGAAGUUACGGAGGAAACUAUUUGCGCAGAAAUCCAGGUCGGGAAAAAACAUACAAAAUAAAAGUGUUAAGCCAGAAGUAAGAAGGUAUAAAAAGAUGGUAUAGUAAGAUGGUAUCUUUAAAACAAAUCAUAAAAGAUUUAACUAAACCAAAUUUAUCAAACUCUGAAAAUGCUCUUUUAUUAAAUAAUAGGCAAAAAAUAAUUACAGAAUUGCAAAAACGUAAAUUGAAAUAAAAUAAGAAAUAUGUUCCUGAAUUACGGAAAUUUGCAAUUACUCUGAGUUUUUUUCCCUUAGGGAUAUGGUUAUGUUAGAAGGGUUUUUAAUACAUGUUUACCGUAUCGAAGCUGUUGAUGCUGAUGCAAUGUUGAUGCUGAACCAGAAUUUACAAAAGAAUCCUAACAUUAAAAAAUUGGUACAGCUAUUAGAUAGUCCUGUUCUCCUUGGACUUGUUGUUGAUGAAAUUUCUAUUAGAAAGCAAGUAGAAUGGGAUGGAAAAAAUUAUUGGUAUUUUAUCACGGUGUUGAUUUGGAAGAUGAUUAGAAUGCGUGUUACAAUGUAUAGAAUUAAUUCGGGAAACAGGUGCUAAUAUCCUUUCAUUGACUUUCGAUGGUGCGCUAUCAAGUAUUCCAUUGGCAAAUAUUUUAGGUCGUUUAAUGGAAUUUUCUAACCUCCAAACAUAUUUUCAAAUAAAUAAUAAAAAUGUCUAUAUUUUUUACGAUCCUUGCCAUAUGUUACAAUUAGUUAGAAAUAUGUUAGGAAAGAAAAAUAUUUUAGUAUAUAGUCAAGAAAAUCUUUUAAAAUGGCAAUUCGCAGGAAAAUUAAAAAAUUUGCAAAACAGCAAAGGUUUGCGUUUCGGAAAUAAACUAAGAAAAGCUCACAUCCGUUUUUUUAAACAAAAGAAUAAAGUUAGAUUAGCCAUUCAAUUGCUAAGUGAGUCAGUGGCCGAUGCUUUAACUUUUUGUGAAGAAACAUUAGCUCUUGAUAAUUUUAGAGGUUGCAAAGCUACUGUAUACUUUAUCAAAAUAAAAAAUUAUAUUUUUGACAUCUUAAACAGUCGGUCUCUUGCAGCUUCUAGAUACAAGAAAGGUAUUUUUGAGAAAAAUAUUGAAAUAACUAAAGAAUUUGUAUUUCAUGCUAUUGAAUAUUUACCUACUUUAAAAUUAAUUACCGGAGAACUAGCCAUUCACUCAAAAAGGAAAAUAGGUUUUCUGGGUUUUAUUGUUUGCCUCAAAAGUGCAUUAUUAAUGUAUGAAGAAGUUGUUUCUCAAAAUUGGUUAGUUUACCUUCCCUGUUACAAAUUCAGUCAUUUAGAGUUAUUUUUUUGAUCGAGUAGGUCAAAGGGCGGGUGGAACAAUAACAAUACCUAUCGCUAAUUCACUGCUGCGUAUAAAAGAUUAAUCGUCAGGGCAGAAAUUCCUGAGGGUGGGGAAUUAUAUCGCUUUAGAUGAUACUGGUAGGAUCUAGAAGUUUGAAAAAUCAGAGCUUAAUAUUGCACGACCUGAUAUGUUAGAAGAGGUAUCUCAAAAUUACUUAAACUUACAAGCAGUUUGGCAAGACCAUGAAUAUAUAAUGAAUUCCCAUGUUAUUAGCGCGUGUUCUACACAAAUUAUUACUUAUAUUGCUGGUUUAGUAUGUCGUAGGCUACAAUUAUUAAUUAAAUGUGAGAACUGUGGACAAUCCUUAAUCGGGGAUGAAAACAAUUAUUUGAAUUCUUUAAUUUCGCAAAAAAAUCGCAGUAGGUUAAUAUUUUUUUUCUCUAAAAGAACAUGCCUCUGGAAACAACAAAUACAUUUAUUUUCUAAUGGAGAGUCUAUUCUUUUAUAAUAUUUAAAUAUUUGUUUACACUUUAUAUGUGAAAGGAAAUCUGAAGUAAUAGACCCCAUGAGAAACCAAUAUACUAAAUUGAUAUUGUUCAAAGAACAAUAAAAUACAUUUAUGUGUAGUAUUUGAACAUGUUUAAAAACAUAUUUUUAUUUUUUUUAUAUAAACUUGUAGUUUUAUAUUAUUUUGUUAAUAUGACAAUGUAGGUAUGUAUAUUAUAUAAAUAAAUAUGUUAC